rnacentral:rRNA from 1 species
AUUGAACGCUGGCGGCAGGCCUAACACAUGCAAGUCGAGCGGUAGAGAGGAGCUUGCUUCUCUUGAGAGCGGCGGACGGGUGAGUAAUGCCUAGGAAUCUGCCUGGCAGUGGGGGAUAACGUUCGGAAACGGACGCUAAUACCGCAUACGUCCUACGGGAGAAAGUGGGGGAUCUUCGGACCUCACGCUAUCAGAUGAGCCUAGGUCGGAUUAGCUAGUUGGUGAGGUAAAGGCUCACCAAGGCGACGAUCCGUAACUGGUCUGAGAGGACGACCAGCCACACUGGAACUGAGACACGGUCCAGACUCCUACGGGAGGCAGCAGUGGGGAAUUUUGGACAAUGGACGCAAGUCUGAUCCAGCCAUUCCGCGUGCAGGAUGAAGGCCCUCGGGUUGUAAACUGCUUUUGUACGGAACGAAAAGGUCUCUCUUAAUACGGGGGACUCAUGACGGUACCGUAAGAAUAAGCACCGGCUAACUACGUGCCAGCCGCCGCCGUAAAAC